rnacentral:rRNA from 1 species
AAUUCGAUUAGUUUGAUCAUGGCUCAGGACGAACGCUGGCGGCGUGCUUAACACAUGCAAGUCGAGCGGAAAGGCUUCCUUCGGGAAGUACUCGAGCGGCGAACGGGUGAGUAACACGUGGAUAACCAACCUCUUGCACUGGAAUACCCCGGGGAAACUCGGAUCAAUGCCAGAUAAAGUGCGGUGCUGCAGGGUGCCGUACCAAAGAUAGCUUCGGCCUUCGGCGAGAGACGGGUCCGCGGCCCAUUAGCUUGUUGGCGGGGUAAAGGCCCACCAAGGCUACGAUGGGUAGCUGGUCUGAGAGGAUGAUCAGCCACACUGGGACUGAGACACGGCCCAGACUCCUACGGGAGGCAGCAGUGGGGAAUCUUGCGCAAUGGGCGAAAGCCUGACGCAGCAACGCCGCGUGCGGGAGGAAGGCCUUCGGGUUGUAAACCGCUUUCAGGGGAGACGAAGCUUCCAGGGUGAAUAGCCCUGUGGAGUGACGGUAUCUUCAGAAGAAGUCCCGGCUAACUACGUGCCAGCAGCCGCGGUGAUACGUAGGGGACAAGCGUUGUCCGGAAUUAUUGGGCGUAAAGCGCGUGUAGGCGGCCAAGUAAGUCUUACGUGAAAUCCUGAGGCUCAACCUCAGGCCUGCGCGGGAUACUGCUUGGCUAGAGUCCGGAAGAGGAGAGUGGAAUUCCUGGUGUAGCGGUGGAAUGCGCAGAUAUCAGGAGGAACAUCCGUGGCGAA